rnacentral:rRNA from 1 species
UACGGGAGGCAGCAGUAGGGAAUAUUGGACAAUGGGCGAAAGCCUGAUCCAGCAAUGCCGCGUGAGUGAUGAAGGCCUUAGGGUUGUAAAGCUCUUUUACCCGGGAUGAUAAUGACAGUACCGGGAGAAUAAGCUCCGGCUAACUCCGUGCCAGCAGCCGCGGUAAUACGGAGGGAGCUAGCGUUGUUCGGAAUUACUGGGCGUAAAGCGCACGUAGGCGGCUAUUCAAGUCAGAGGUGAAAGCCCGGGGCUCAACCCCGGAACUGCCUUUGAAACUGAUAGCUUGAAUCCAGGAGAGGUGAGUGGAAUUCCGAGUGUAGAGGUGAAAUUCGUAGAUAUUCGGAAGACACCAGUGGCGAAGGCGGCUCACUGGACUGGUAUUGACGCUGAGGGUGCGAAAGCGUGGGGAGCAAAC